GCCUAGUUAGCUUAGUUGGAAGUGCGUCUGCCUUGUAAGCGCUAGGCCGCGGGUUCGAUUCCCGCCCGGGGCG
rfam:Asian citrus Psyllid, Diaphorina citri - Florida Strain, whole genome shotgun sequence.